rnacentral:rRNA from 1 species
AAGGGGCCAACCAGAGUGGAGCCUGGUUGCUUUUGGACAAAGCAGGACAAACCUCACCCCGACCGGACAUUAGGCGGAAUGACAAACUGACUAGCUCUUUCUUGAUUCAUUGGGUGGGGGGGCGUGGCCGCUCCCGUUGGUGGAGCGAUUUGUCUGGUUAAUUCCGAUAACGAACGAAACUCUAGCCUGCUAUUUAGGCGGCCCAGCCGCUGUGCUCCCCGCCAGCAAGUUUUUUAGAGGGAAAGACGGGUCGUUAGCCGUACGAAAUAGAGCAAUAACAGGUCUGUGAUGACCUUAAAUGUCCGGGGCCGGGGCGCGCUACACUGAAGGAAUCAGCACGCUUGCAAUCCCGCGCCCCUCAGGAGCGGGGGACCGUUAUCACUCCCUCCCCGAUAGGGAAUGAGUUUUGUAACUUUUGUUCAAAAACUAGGAAUUACCACUCGCCCUGAAGGUUAGUGUUCGGGCAUAGGUGUCGGGGCCCAAGUGGCACCGCCCGGACGACUUACAUUGGAAGGAAUG